UGGGUCUUCCCAAUAUGAUCAUUAUUGCUAUUUGAUGAUUAGGUUCUAGACCUAAUCCACCGGAUAAACAUGAAUGAUCAUAGAGAAAAUAUUGUAUUAAUUAAUUUAAAAGCUUUUCAAAAAGCCGGAAACAGUAAAACAGCCAUUGGCAAACCCCAUGAGAAGAUAUCUGUGCACUUCCAAUGACCAUAUGUUCUGUCUAGUAUAUUUGGUAGCAGGUGCGUGCAUCCUUACAGUAAUAUAGAGAGUCUUCCACAUACUGGGUUUUGCACACGUGUUAGGAUUAUAAUAGGUCCACGGUUUGGUUCUUUUUAAUCUAUAAUAAAAAUAGAUUUGCCCAAGCUUCCAAGCAUUUCACUGCUUUCAAGCUGUUUUAAAAACUAAUAAGCAGUUUAUAAGUUUUUGAGGUUAAUGGUUGUCUAACAUGAUAAUCAGAGCACUAGUUCUCAAAUAAUUUAAACUUAGGUUGUUAUCUGAACUUUAAUUCGGAUAAACCAAACAUCAAUCAACAACAGAAGCAAAUAUCAGCAAAAAAAAAAAAAACAUCAAUCAAAGAUGUUGCGUUAGGGCAACGUAAUGCGAUCCCCACACGUUUAUAAUUUGCUCCACCAUGCCAAGCACUUUCAAUGUGGCCAGUUGAAUAUGUCAAUGUCAUUCAGGAUCCAAUAUUGCAGCAAUGCCAUAACACUACAAAUUCCACUGGUUUAGAGCACACGUAUUCCAGUGAAUGACAGAAACCGAAUUCUCUUCACUGAGUUCUCCAAUAAUGACCCAAAAAACCAAAAUGAUCCUCCCAACUUUUCCAUUUAUAGCAUUAUGAAAUCAGCAGAGCGCCAAUACAAAUGCAAAACACAAUCAAAAUGGUUGUUCCAAUUGCUGAAUUUGGGGCUUUUUUUUUUUUUUUUUUUGGGGUCAAUUGAGUACAUCGAGAAGAGGCGGUGAGUGGAAGGGUUUAUUCUUGGAAUAUACCAUUCCAUUUUGAUCUUCCAUAGAACACUUCUUUCAAGGUUUUAAUCAUACUUUGGGUGGAUCGACUGGUUUUAAUUUAUGUGUUCUUUAUAGUACAUCAGCUGGUCCACCACCACCCAACUUCCCCGUGUCAAUUUGGUGGAUCUUGAAGCGUUCAAUAUGAGCUUGUGCAUUUCCUACCAUAAAACAUCAUAGUGGUGAAGGCACUACAGCCCUAGAAUCCGAUUCAAAACCUAUGCUCCUAUAUUUGUAACCAAAACUUUGUUAUAUGUAGACCAGUUUAUUGCGUGAAAUCAAUUGAGUAACACACUACAUGGAUUGGUGGAGGAUGGAAGUACUUACAACAAAAGGAAGAAAACACAAACAUAUAGGUUGAUUUUCUGGUUGUUGGAUAUUCUUGUUAUGCUCGUGGACUUUGAAAAGUGAUCAUUAUAAUGGAAACCCUAGUUGUUAGGGACAUUAGGGGUGAUAAAUUCUUAUCACCCGGGUAAACUCGGCAUCUUUUGGUUAACUGAUUCAGUUACUGAUCAAUCUGGCUCUAGGUUCCCUAGGUCCAACGCAGAAGGCCUCUCAUUUAGUCCAGAUCUUUGCGGCAUCUCCAAGAGGCCUCGUUUAUUGACUUGGUUUGGACUUGAAUUGGAGUUGGUCCAAGCCAGACUCUCACCCCUCUAGAUGGGACUUGCAUGAUAUAAUAUGGUGAAUUUUUAUCUAAUUUAAUAAGUCCAGUCUCAAUAUUUAUAAGCUUGCCAAAUAGCGGUAAGGACACUUGUCCAAUUUAAUUGAAAUAGUCCAAUUCAAUCUGAGCCACGAAACAUGGCCUAGGAUCACAGUACGUAGGGACAUAGGUAUUUGAGGAUUGGUUAUAAUGUAAGAUCUAAUAUUUGUGCAAAGCAGCAGCAGCUUUCUUUUUAUUAGAGGUGCAUAGCACAGCUGCUUUCUCUUUACUCAUAUAUUGUGCUAAGUUUCUCAUAAUGAUUGCAAUAGCACUUUAGUUGUCUCUGUGCUCCCUUUCCUUACCUUUUUAAGGAUUAAUAUUAGUUAAAUUCUG
rnacentral:lncRNA from 1 species